GAUGAACGCUAGCUACAGGCUUAACACAUGCAAGUCGAGGGGCAUCAUGGAGUUUGCUUGCAAACUCUGAUGGCGACCGGCGCACGGGUGAGUAACGCGUAUCCAACCUUCCCUAUAGUAGAGGAUAGCCCGGCGAAAGUCGGAUUAAUACUCUAUGUUUUCCGUUGCAGACAUCUAAGAUGGAACAAAGGCUUGCCGCUAUAGGAUGGGGAUGCGUCUGAUUAGGUUGUUGGCGGGGUAACGGCCCACCAAGCCGACGAUCAGUAGGGGUUCUGAGAGGAAGGUCCCCCACAUUGGAACUGAGACACGGUCCAAACUCC
rnacentral:rRNA from 1 species